CUGGCUCUCAGCCAGGUUAAGGGACAAAAUCCAGUGUGGGCGGAUGAAGAGAAAUUUGGUGCAAACCAAGACGCCUGGGAGAGCUUGAAAGCAGAUGCAAGUUCUCCCUAUUACAUGCUAUUAGCGACAUAUACGGACGACCCUGUAUGGGGCCGCGACUUUACUUGCCUGAAGGUUCAGGCAACGGAUGUGAACGAAGCAGAGAAGAGUAUUCAAGCUGUAAUUACAUAUAACCAUGAACAAGAAGCUAGCUACAAACAUCCAAUGAAAAAAUUUAUGCUUGAUUUUCUUCUUCGAUUACAAGAAGGCAAACGCCAUUACAUACAAGACGGAAGGUG